rnacentral:rRNA from 1 species
UACAGAGGGGGCAAGCGUUAUUCGGAAUUAUUGGGCGUAAAGGGCGCGUAGGCGGCUUGGCAAGUGGAAGGUGAAAUCCCUCGGCUUAACCGAGGAACUGCCCUCCAAACUGCUUGGCUUGAGACCGGGAGAGGUGAGUGGAAUUCCCAGUGUAGCGGUGAAAUGCGUAGAUAUUGGGAGGAACACCAGUGGCGAAGGCGGCUCACUGGACCGUAACUGACGCUGAGACACGAAAGCGUGGGUAGCAAACAGG